rnacentral:rRNA from 1 species
AACGAACGCUGGUGGCAGGCCUAACACAUGCAAGUCGAACGGGUGUAGCAAUACAUCAGUGGCGCACGGGUGAGUAACGCGUGGGAACGUGCCCUUCACUACGGGACAACGUCGGGAAACUGACGCUAAUACCGUAUAAUGUCUCCGGACCAAAGAUGUAUCGGUGAAGGAUCGGCCCGCGUCUGAUUAGCUAGUUGGUGAGGUAAAAGCUAACCAAGGCGACGAUCAGUAGCUGGUUUGAGAGAAUGAUCAGCCACACUGGGACUGAGACACGGCCCAGACUCCUACGGGAGGCAGCAGUGAGGAAUCUUGGACAAUGGGCGCAAGCCUGAUCCAGCCAUGCCGCGUGAGUGAUGAAGGCCUUAGGGUUGUAAAGCUCUUUUGCCGGGGAUGAUAAUGACCGUACCCGGAGAAUAAGCCACGGCUAAAUUCGUGCCAGCCGCCGCCGUAA